rnacentral:rRNA from 1 species
UAAGUGGAGAGUUUGAUCCUGGCUCAGAGCGAACGCUAGCGGCGUGCCUAACACAUGCAAGUCGAACGAGAAAGCUUUCUUCGGAGAGUUAUUAAAGUGGCGCACGGGUGAGUAACGCGUGAAUAAUCUAUCUUCGAGUUCGGAAUAACCCGCUGAAAGGCGUGCUAAUACCGGAUAAGACCACAUUACUUAAGUAAGGCGGUCAAAGGCGGGGACCCUUCGGGGCCCGUCGCUUGAUGAGGAGUUCGCGUCCCAUCAGUUAGUUGGUGAGGUAACGGCUCACCAAGGCUAAGACGGGUAACUGGUCUGAGAGGACGAUCAGUCACACUGGCACUGGAACACGGGCCAGACUCCUACGGGAGGCAGCAGUGGGGAAUAUUGCGCAAUGGGCGAAAGCCUGACGCAGCGACGUCGCGUGAGGGAAGAAG